rnacentral:rRNA from 1 species
UACGUAGGUGGCAAGCGUUGUCCGGAUUUACUGGGCGUAAAGAGCGCGCAGGCGGUCGUUCAAGUCGCGUGUGAAAGCCCCCGGCUCAACUGGGGAGGGUCACGCGAUACUGGUCGACUCGAAGGCAGGAGAGGGUAGUGGAAUUCCCAGUGUAGUGGUGAAAUACGUAGAGAUUGGGAAGAACACCAGUGGCGAAGGCGGCUAUCUGGACGGUUUCUGACGCUAAGACGCGAAAGCGUGGGGAGCAAACAGG